rnacentral:lncRNA from 1 species
GACAACUAUCCACAAAAGACCAAAAUGACACAGACAUUAACAACUAUAGGUCACCAUACGGCCUUCAACAAUGAGUAAAGCCCAUACCGCAUAGUCAGCUAUAAAAAGUCCCGAUAAGACAAUGUAAAACAAUUCAAACGAGAAACCUAACGGCCUUAUUUAUGUAAAAAAAUGAACGAAAAACAAAUAUGUAACACAUAAACAAACGACAAC